rnacentral:rRNA from 1 species
UACAGAGGGUGCGAGCGUUAAUCGGAAUUACUGGGCGUAAAGCGCACGUAGGCGGCUUGGUAUGUCGGGUGUGAAAUCCCCGGGCUCAACCUGGGAACUGCAUCCGAAAACUGCCUUGCUAGAGUAUGGGAGAGGGAAGUGGAAUUUCCGGUGUAGCGGUGAAAUGCGUAGAUAUCGGAAGGAACAUCAGUGGCGAAGGCGACUUCCUGGACCAAUACUGACGCUUGAGGAGCGAAAAGCGUGGGGAGCGAACAGG